GACGAACGCUGGCGGCGUGCUUAACACAUGCAAGUCGAGCGGUAAGGCCCCUUCGGGGUUACACGAGCGGCAAACGGUUGAGUAACACGUUAUCAAUCUGCCCAUCACAUCGUUAUAACUCCGGUAAACCGAAUCUAAUACCUAAUACGACCACCUCCGUCCUCGGAUGUUGGUUGAAAGUUCCGGCGGUGAUUGAUGAGCUCGCGUCCUAUCAGCUUGUUGGUGUGGUAACGGCCCACCAAGGCUUCGACGGGUAGCCGGCCUGAGAGGGUGACCGGCCACAAUGGGACUGAGACACGGCACAGAAUCAUACGGGAGGCAGCAGUGGGGAAUAUUGGACAAUGGGCGAAAGCCUGAUCCAGCAACGCCGCGUGAGGGAUGACGGCCUUCGGGUUGUAAACAUCUUUCAGCAGGGACGAAGAGAAAGUGACGGUACCUGAAGAAGAAGCACCGGCCAACUACGUG
rnacentral:rRNA from 1 species